UACAAAGCAAGAUAAGAAAGGAAAGAAAUAGCAAAACAAAUAGGUGAAAUUUGUAAGAGGCGAUUGUUGAGAGAAAGGAAGAGAAAGGAUGUCUGAGUGGCCUUCAAUUGGUGAAAAAUUAAAAAACAAAAAACCCUUGAGGAAAUGCUUGAGUAACUGAGAAAUAAAAGAGAAAAUUCCUAUCAGUGUGUGGAGCAGGGGAAAAGGUCCAUGAUGACUUACACUGUGAAAGUGACCGUACAGAAGAGUGGCUGCUGUCUGGGUUCCAAGUUGAGGCUGGUCUCCCAGGAGAAGAAUAGGUAAUGAUGGGGUUCCAGGGAUACCUUCCUAGACCACAGGUCAUUAGGGACAGUCAAUCAUUCUGAAGAGAAUGGGAGGCAUGCACCUGCUAUGGCCAUAUACUAAUUCCUUAAGACAGGUAGUGCUCAGGACUGGAAAAUGAGGGGCCAAUCUCUAGAGUAUAUGCUCUGCCUGUCAUCAAACCUGGGAGACCUGACUCUGAACAUGAGUGAUGGAACGCCUCUGCCCUCAGAUUCAGAGAAAGUCCAGAUAUCCCAUGGCUGUUUCCUAUCAACAUACUGUGUGUGGUGACAAAAAAAAAUUUUUUUAACUGUCUGCUAACCUGGAACUGAAUGUGCAUACAAAAGACUUGAACAGAUGCAAUCUCUCCAUCUCCCUCUGACUCCGUCUCUCUGUCUCUUGCCUCUAUCUUUUCCUCUCCCCCUCUUUCCCCUCUCUCCUCUGUCUCUCUUCCUCUCUAUUUCUCCCCCUCUUCCUUUCUCUUUCUCCCUCUAUCCCUCCCUCUCUUUUCUGCUUGUCUCUCUUCUUCUUCUUCUUCUUCUUCUUCUUCUUCUUCUUCUUCUUCUUCUUCUUCUUCUUCUUCUUCUUCUUCUUCUUCUUCUUCUUCUUCUUCUUCUUCUUCUUCUUCUUCUUCUUCUUCUUCUUCUUCUUCUUCUUCCUCUCCUCCUCCUUCCUUUCUCCUCCUCCUCCUUCCUCUCUCUCCUUCUCCUCCUCCUCCCUUUCUCCUCCUCCUCUCUCUCUCCUCCUCCUCCUUCUUUCUCUCUCUCCUUCUCUUCCUCUGAUUUUGUCUCUGUCUCUGUCUCCU
rnacentral:lncRNA from 1 species